rnacentral:rRNA from 1 species
AUUGAACGCUGGCGGCCGGCCUAACACAUUCAAGUCGAACGAGUGGCGGACGGGUGAGUCAUGUCUGGGAAACUGCCUGAUGGAGGGGGAUAACUACUGGAAACGGUAGCUAAUACCGCAUACCCUCGGAUGUGCCCAGAUGGGAUUAGCUAGUAGGUGGGGUAAAGGCUCACCGAGGCGACGAUCCCUAGCUGGUCUGAGAGGAUGACCAGCCAGCCUGGAACUGAGACACGGUCCAGACUCCUACGGGAGGCAGCAGUGGGGAAUAUUGGACGAUGGGCGAAAGCCUGAUCCAGCCAUGCCGAGUGUGUGAAGAAGGUCUUCGGAUUGGAAAGCACUUUAAGUUGGGAGGCGUUACCAACAGAAGAAGCACCGGCUAACUUCGUGCCAGCAGCCGCGGUAAUUC